AUCGCUUCUUGGCCUUUUGGCUAAGAUCAAGUGUAGUAUUUGUUCUUACCAGUGUAACAUAUUUCUCAUGGAAGAAGACUGAGGAGGAGUGAGAUUAGUAGACUGGACAGCAUCCCAC
rnacentral:snRNA from 1 species